UUACCUACGGGACGCAGCAGUAGGGAAUCUUCCACAAUGGGCGAAAGCCUGAUGGAGCAACGCCGCGUGGGUGAAGAAGGCCUUCGGAUCGUAAAACCCUGUUGUUAGAGAAGAAAGUGCGUGAGAGUAAAUGUUCACAUUUCGACGGUAUCUAACCAGAAAGCAACGGCUAACUACGUGCUAGCAGCCGCGGUAAUACGUAGGGGGCAAGCGUUAUCCGGAUUUAUUGGGCGUAAAGGGAACGCAGGCGGUCUUUUAAAUCUGAUGUGAUAGCCUUCGGGUUAACCGGAG
rnacentral:rRNA from 1 species